rnacentral:rRNA from 1 species
UGGGGAAUAUUGGACAAUGGGCGAAAGCCUGAUCCAGCCAUGCCGCGUGUGUGAAGAAGGUCUUCGGAUUGUAAAGCACUUUAAGUUGGGAGGAAGGACAGUUACCUAAUACGUGAUUGUUUUGACGUUACCGACAGAAUAAGCACCGGCUAACUCUGUGCCAGCAGCCGCGGUAAUACAGAGGGUGCAAGCGUUAAUCGGAAUUACUGGGCGUAAAGCGCGCGUAGGUGGUUAGUUAAGUUGGAUGUGAAAUCCCCGGGCUCAACCUGGGAACUGCAUUCAAAACUGACUGACUAGAGUAUGGUAGAGGGUGGUGGAAUUUCCUGUGUAGCGGUGAAAUGCGUAGAUAUAGGAAGGAACACCAGUGGCGAAGGCGACCACCUGGACUGAUACUGACACUGAGGUGCGAAAGCGUGGGGAGCAAACAGGAUUAGAUACCCUAGUAGUCCCUGAGCGGGCUGGCAAGGCGCAU